rnacentral:rRNA from 1 species
GAGCGGUAACAGGUGUAGCAAUACAUGCUGACGAGCGGCGGACGGGUGAGCAAUGUUUGGGAAUCUGCCUAUUAGUGGGGGACAACCCGGGGAAACUCGGGCUAAUACCGCAUACGAUCUACGGAUGAAAGCCGGGGACCGCAAGGCCUGGCGCUAAUAGAUGAGCCCAAAUCGGAUUAGCUAGUUGGUGGGGUAACGGCCUACCAAGGCGACGAUCCGUAGCUGGUUUGAGAGAACGACCAGCCACACCGGAACUGAGACACGGUCCGGACUCCUACGGGAGGCAGCAGUGGGGAAUAUUGGACAAUGGGGGCAACCCUGAUCCAGCGACGCCGCGUGGGUGAAGAAGGCCUGCGGGUUGUAAAGCCCUUUCGGUGGGGAUGAAAAGUCUUGGUCUAACACACNCAGGAUCUUGACCUAACCCAAGAAAGAAGCACCGGCUAACUCUGUG